GGAUCAAUACGUCGGUCGUGCUUUUUUAGUACGCACUGGCGUCAUUGGUUUCUCCUUUCUGACGAACCAUGAUGUCAUUAAUUUGGUGUUAUGGGGAAUCAGGACUGUUACUUUGAAAAAAUUAGAGUGUUUAAAGCAGGCAUUAGCUUGAAUACAUUAGCAUGGAAUAAUGAAAUAGGACGUUCGAUCCUAUUUUGUUGGUUUCUAGGAUCGACGUAAUGAUUAAUAGGGAUAGUUGGGGGCAUUAAUAUUCAAUUGUCAGAGGUGAAAUUCUUGGAUUUAUUGAAGACUAACUACUGCGAAAGCAUUUGCCAAGGAUGUUUUCAUUAAUCAAGAACGAAAGUUAGGGGAUCGAAGACGAUCAGAUACCGUCGUAGUCUUAACCAUAAACUAUGCCGACUAGGGAUCGGAUGAUGUUAAUUUUUUAAUGACUCAUUCGGCGCCUUACGGGAAACCAAAGUGUUUGGGUUCCGGGGGGAAUAUGGUCGCAAGGCUGAAACUUAAAGGAAUUGGCGGAAGGGCACCACCAGGGGUGGAGCCUGCGGCUUAAUUUGACUCAACACGGAGAAACUCACCAGGUCCAGACAUAGUAAGGAUUGACAGAUUGAGAGC
rnacentral:rRNA from 1 species